rnacentral:rRNA from 1 species
UACGGAGGGUGCAAGCGUUAUUCGGAAUUACUGGGCGUAAAGCGCUUGCAGGCGGUCAAUUGAGUCUGAUGUGAAAGUCCCGGGCUUAACUCGGGAAUUGCAGUUGGAACUGGUUGGCUAGAGUGUGGUAGAGGGGGGUAGAAUUCCAUGUGUAGCGGUGAAAUGCGUAGAGAUGUGGAGGAAUACCGGUGGCGAAGGCGGCUCCCUGGGCCACGACUGACGCUCAGAAGCGAAAGCGUGGGGAGCAAACAGG